AGAGUUUGAUCCUGGCUCAGGACGAACGCUGGCGGCGUGCCUAACACAUGCAAGUCGAGCGGAGAUUAGCGGAUGGUAACUGAAGCUAAUUUUAGCGGCGGACGGGUGAGUAACACGUGGGCAACCUGCCUCGAAGAGGGGGAUAACACCGGGAAAUCGGUGCUAAUACCGCAUAACAUACACACAUCACAUGGUGAGUGUAUCAAAGGAGAAAUCCGCUUUGAGAUGGGCCCGCGGCUGAUUAGCUAGUUGGUAAGGUAAUGGCUUACCAAGGCGACGAUCAGUAGCCGACCUGAGAGGGUGACCGGCCACACUGGAACUGAGACACGGUCCAGACUCCUACGGGAGGCAGCAGUGGGGAAUAUUGCGCAAUGGGGGAAACCCUGACGCAGCAACGCCGCGUGGAGGAAGAAGGUUUUCGGAUUGUAAACUCCUGUCUUCUGGGACGAUAAUGACGGUACCAGAGGAGGAAGCCACGGCUAACUACGUGCCAGCAGCCGCGGUAAUACGUAGGUGGCGAGCGUUGUCCGGAAUUACUGGGCGUAAAGGGCGCGUAGGCGGCUCUUUAAGUCAGAUGUGAAAACCCGAGGCUUAACUUCGGGAGUGCAUUUAAAACUGGGGAGCUUGAGUGCAGGAGAGGUAAGUGGAAUUCCUAGUGUAGCGGUGAAAUGCGUAGAUAUUAGGAGGAACACCAGUGGCGAAGGCGACUUACUGGACUGUAACUGACGCUGAGGCGCGAAAGCGUGGGGAGCAAACAGGAUUAGAUACCCUGGUAGUCCACGCUGUAAACGAUGGAUACUAGGUGUGGGAGGUAUCGACCCCUUCCGUGCCGCAGUUAACGCAAUAAGUAUCCCGCCUGGGGAGUACGGCCGCAAGGUUGAAACUCAAAUGAAUUGACGG
rnacentral:rRNA from 2 species